GCCUAUACAUGCAGUCGAGCGAAUGGAUUGAGAGCUUGCUCUCAAGAAGUUAGCGGCGGACGGGUGAGUAACACGUGGGUAACCUGCCCAUAAGACUGGGAUAACUCCGGSAAACCGGGGCUAAUACCGGAUAACAUUUUGAACYGCAUGGUUCGAAAUUGAAAGGCGGCUUCGGCUGUCACUUAUGGAUGGACCCGCGUCGCAUUAGCUAGUUGGUGAGGUAACGGCUCACCAAGGCAACGAUGCGUAGCCGACCUGAGAGGGUGAUCGGCCACACUGGGACUGAGACACGGCCCAGACUCCUACGGGAGGCAGCAGUAGGGAAUCUUCCGCAAUGGACGAAAGUCUGACGGAGCAACGCCGCGUGAGUGAUGAAGGCUUUCGGGUCGUAAAACUCUGUUGUUAGGGAAGAACAAGUGCUAGUUGAAUAAGCUGGCACCUUGACGGUACCUAACCAGAAAGCCACGGCUAACUACGUGCCAGCAGCCGCCGGWAAUACGUAGGUGGCAAGCGUUAUCCGGAAUUAUUGGGCGWAAAGCGCGCGCAGGUGGUUUCUUAAGUCUGAUGUGAAAGCCCACGGCUCAACCGUGGAGGGUCAUUGGAAACUGGGAGACYUGAGUGCAGAAGAGGAAAGUGGAAUUCCAUGUGUAGCGGWGAAWUGCGKWAKAGAUAUGGAGGAACACCAGUGG
rnacentral:rRNA from 1 species